AUACAGAGAUAAAAACACGGCUCGGUUGGUAGUCUGGGCGUAGCAUAUUGCUAUCAGUAACCUGCCUCCUUGGUUGUCCAUUCUUUGUUUAUAUU
rnacentral:ncRNA from 1 species